AAAUCUAGUGGCAGCCAUCGUA
rnacentral:siRNA from 1 species